GAUGAAGAACGUAGCGAAAUGCGAUAAGUAGUGUGAAUUGCAGAAUUCAGUGAAUCAUCGAAUCUUUGAACGCACAUUGCGCCCCUUGGUAUUCCAUGGGGCAUGCCUGUUCGAGCGUCAUCUGCACCCUCAAGCACUGCUUGGUGAUGGGCGUCUGUCCCGCCUCUGCGAGCGGACUCGCCCCAAAGGUAUUGGCAGCGGUCCUGUCCGCCUCUCGCGCAGCACAGAUGCGCUUCUCGAGGCUUCGGGGCCCGCGUCCAUGAAGCUCUUUUACCACGUUUGACCUCGGAUCAGGUAGGGAUACCCGCUGAACUUAAGCAUAUCAAUAAGCGGAGGA
rnacentral:misc_RNA from 1 species